rnacentral:rRNA from 1 species
AUUGAACGCUGGCGGCAGGCCUAACACAUGCAAGUCGAACGGUAACAGGAAGAAGCUUGCUUCUUUGCUGACGAGUGGCGGACGGGUGAGUAAUGUCUGUGACACUGCCUGAUGGAUGGGGAUAACUACUGGAAACGGUAGCUAAUACCGCAUAACGUCGCAAGACCAAAGAGGGGUACCUAGGGCCGCUUUCCAUCGGAUGUGCCCAGAUGGGAUUAGCUAGUAGGUUGGGUAACGGCUCACCUAGGCGACGAUCCCUAGCUGGUCUGAGAGGAUGACCAGCCACACUGGAACUGAGACACGGUCCAGACUCCUACGGGAGGCAGCAGUGGGGAAUAUUGCACAAUGGGCGCAAGCCUGAUGCAGCCAUGCCGCGUGUAUGAAGAAGGCCUUCGGGUUGUAAAGUACUUUCAGCGGGGAGGAAGGGAGUAAAGUUAAUACCUUUGCUCAUUGACGUUACCCGCAGAAGAAGCACCGGCUAACUCCGUG